UACGUAGGGGCCGAGCGUUGUCCGGAGUUAUUGGGCGUAAAGCGCGCGCAGGCGGCCUCGCGCGCCCGACGUGAAAGCCCCCGGCUUAACCGGGGAGGGUCGUUGGGGACGGCGGGGCUUGAGGGCGGGAGAGGUCGGUGGAAUUCCCGGUGUAGUGGUGAAAUGCGUAGAGAUCGGGAGGAACACCUGUGGCGAAGGCGGCCGACUGGGCCGACCCUGACGCUGAGGCACGAAAGCGUGGGGAGCAAACAGG
rnacentral:rRNA from 1 species